GUCUAUGGCCAUAUCACUUUGAAUGUGCCCAAUCUCAUCUGGUCUCAGAAGCUAAGCAGGGUUGGGCCUGGUUAGUACUUGGAUGGGAGUCAGAUCUUCAGAGGAGACUGCUUAGAGACA
rnacentral:rRNA from 1 species